rnacentral:rRNA from 1 species
GACGAACGCUGGCGGCGUGCUUAACACAUGCAAGUCGAACGGAAAGGCCCUGCUUGCAGGGUACUCGAGUGGCGAACGGGUGAGUAACACGUGGGUGAUCUGCCCUGCACUUCGGGAUAAGCCUGGGAAACUGGGUCUAAUACCGGAUAGGAGCCAUUUUUAGUGUGAUGGUUGGAAAGUUUUUUCGGUGUAGGAUGAGCUCGCGGCCUAUCAGCUUGUUGGUGGGAUAAUGGCCUACCAAGGCGGCGACGGGUAGCCGGCCUGAGAGGGUGGACGGCCACAUUGGGACUGAGAUACGGCCCAGACUCCUACGGGAGGCAGCAGUGGGGAAUAUUGCACAAUGGGCGCAAGCCUGAUGCAGCGACGCCGCGUGGGGGAUGACGGCCUUCGGGUUGUAAACUCCUUUCGCUAGGGACGAAGCUUUUUGUGACGGUACCUAGAGAAGAAGCACCGGCUAACUACGUG